UCCUACGGGAGGCAGCAGUGGGGAAUAUUGGACAAUGGGCGAAAGCCUGAUCCAGCCAUGCCGCGUGUGUGAAGAAGGUCUUCGGAUUGUAAAGCACUUUAAGUUGGGAGGAAGGGCAGUAAGUUAAUACCUUGCUGUUUUGACGUUACCGACAGAAUAAGCACCGGCUAACUCUGUGCCAGCAGCCGCGGUAAU
rnacentral:rRNA from 1 species